UGCGUGUCAUUAGCUAGUUGGCGGGGUAACGGCCCACCAAGGCGACGAUGACUAGGGGAUCUGAGAGGAUGGCCCCCCACACUGGUACUGAGACACGGACCAGACUCCUACGGGAGGCAGCAGUAAGGAAUAUUGGUCAAUGGAGGCAACUCUGAACCAGCCAUGCCGCGUGCAGGAAGACAGCCCUCUGGGUCGUAAACUGCUUUUAUUCGGGAAUAAACCUACUUACGUGUAAGUAGCUGAAUGUACCGAAGGAAUAAGGAUCGGCUAACUCCGUGCCAGCAGCCGCGGUAAUACGGAGGAUCCAAGCGUUAUCCGGAUUUAUUGGGUUUAAAGGGUGCGUAGGCGGCCUAUUAAGUCAGGGGUGAAAGACGGUGGCUCAACCAUCGCAGUGCCCUUGAUACUGAUGGGCUUGAAUGAACUAGAGGUAGGCGGAAUGUGACAAGUAGCGGUGAAAUGCAUAGAUAUGUCACAGAACACCGAUUGCGAAGGCAGCUUACUAUGGUUUUAUUGACGCUGAGGCACGAAAGCGUGGGGAUCAAACAGGAUUAGAUACCCUGGUAGUCCACGCCCUAAACGAUGAAUACUCGCUGUU
rnacentral:rRNA from 1 species